rnacentral:rRNA from 1 species
UCGUGAAAUCUCACGGCUUAACUGUGAGCGUGCGGGCGAUACGGGCAGACUUGAGUACUGCAGGGGAGACUGGAAUUCCUGGUGUAGCGGUGGAAUGCGCAGAUAUCAGGAGGAACACCGGUGGCGAAGGCGGGUCUCUGGGCAGUAACUGACGCUGAGGAGCGAAAGCGUGGGGAGCGAACAGGAUUAGAUACCCUGGUAGUCCACGCCGUAAACGGUGGGUACUAGGUGUGGGUUUCCUUCCUUGGGAUCCGUGCCGUAGCUAACGCAUUAAGUACCCCGCCUGGGGAGUACGGCCGCAAGGCUAAAACUCAAAGAAAUUGACGGGGGCCCGCACAAGCGGCGGAGCAUGUGGAUUAAUUCGAUGCAACGCGAAGAACCUUACCUGGGUUUGACAUGCACAGGACGCCGGCAGAGAUGUCGGUUCCCUUGUGGCCUGUGUGCAGGUGGUGCAUGGCUGUCGUCAGCUCGUGUCGUGAGAUGUUGGGUUAAGUCCCGCAACGAGCGCAACCCUUGUCUCAUGUUGCCAGCGGGUAAUGCCGGGGACUCGUGAGAGACUGCCGGGGUCAACUCGGAGGAAGGUGGGGAUGACGUCAAGUCAUCAUGCCCCUUAUGUCCAGGGCUUCACACAUGCUACAAUGGCCGGUACAAAGGGCUGCGAUGCCGCGAGGUUAAGCGAAUCCUUUUAAAGCCGGUCUCAGUUCGGAUCGGGGUCUGCAACUCGACCCCGUGAAGUCGGAGUCGCUAGUAAUCGCAGA